UACGUAGGGGGCAAGCGUUGUCCGGAUUUAUUGGGCGUAAAGAGCGUGUAGGCGGCUAGGUAGGUCCGUUGUGAAAACUCGAGGCUCAACCUCGAGACGUCGAUGGAAACCAUCUAGCUAGAGUCCGGAAGAGGAGAGUGGAAUUCCUGGUGUAGCGGUGAAAUGCGCAGAUAUUAGGAAGAACACCGGUGGCGAAGGCGGCUCUCUGGAACGGUACUGACGCUGAGACGCGAAAGCGUGGGGAGCGAACAGG
rnacentral:rRNA from 1 species